GUGGGGAAUAUUGGACAAUGGGCGAAAGCCUGAUCCAGCCAUGCCGCGUGUGUGAAGAAGGUCUUCGGAUUGUAAAGCACUUUAAGUUGGGAGGAAGGGCAGUAAGUUAAUACCUUGCUGUUUUGACGUUACCGACAGAAUAAGCACCGGCUAACUUCGUGCCAGCAGCCGCGGUAAUACGAAGGGUGUAAGCGUUAAUCGGAAUUACUGGGCGUAAAGCGCGCGUAGGUGGUUUUGUAAGUUGGAGGUGAAAUCCCCGGGCUCAACCUGGGAACUGCCUCCAAAACUGCAUGACUAGAGUACGGUAGAGGGUAGUGGAAUUUCCUGUGUAGCGGUGAAAUGCGUAGAUAUAGGAAGGAACACCAGUGGCGAAGGCGACUACCUGGACUGAUACUGACACUGAGGUGCGAAAGCGUGGGGAGCAAACAGGAUUAGAAACCCCUGUAGUCC
rnacentral:rRNA from 1 species